GUAGCGCCAGUGUUCCUACACUGCCAAGUUCCGGCCCAGGACAGGCCGGAUUCAAUUCUCUCCCUCCUCCCCAUGCCUUCCCCCUUUUUUAAUAACUGACCAGCGCAGCGCAGUUCAAAUCACAGAGAGGGAAAGAGACAGCGAGCAGGCGGCAGUGGUUCAUUCUGCAGUGGCCAUAGCGAAAAGCUGUCUUCUCUGCAAAGUUCCAGCGAAAAUCUGUCUUCUCUGCAAAGUCCCAGUGAAAAUCUGUCUUCUCUGCAAAGUCCCUAGGGAUGCCAACUCUAUACAACGGAUGUUAUAGAUAUUCAGUUGAUUGCCUACCAAACGAAACAACUAUUGCCUGAGAAAGAAUCUGCAUACAAAAUAUGAGUUCCCCGCGGGGCCACCCUGUCCUGUAACCAAUGGCAACAUCGGUCCAAACCCUUCCUCUGACCCGCAACCCCAGCAAGACAUUCCGUGAUCCCAUCUCGACCCCUACCCGGUCCACAGCCCUAUUGGACCGGUUCAGUAUGGGUAGUGUAGGCAGCCUAGUGGAGCGCCCAGACGCGUCCCCAGCUAAAGGCAGCCGGGCCGUGCCCCAGGUGGGACCCAGGCAGACCAACAGGAUAUUAAAGAAAGGUUUCAACCAGAGAGAGUUGCUCAACUACCUCAACAUUACCAGGAAAGAGGCCAAAGCGGGUAGCGGCCCAGGCAGCAGUAGGAAGGACAUCUUCUCCAGCAUGCAGUCCAUGAAGAGAGAGCAUGGACAUGAGGAGGAACACAUCAAGAUCUACCACAAAGACAGAACUGAGGUGGGCGUGUCAAAGAACUCACUGCCCAUUAGAGGGAAAUAUGAGAAGUCUCUUCCCAGGCCGUCUGCCUUCAAGCUGGUCACACCCAAGAACUUCAGUUCCAUGCAGAACCUCUACCCUGCCAAGAUAGAGGACUCAGACCAGGGCCUGUCCAACGGGCUCCACCGGGCCUACGCACACACACCUAGAGCUGUCUCUACCUCCUCUUCCUCCUCCUCACCCUCCCGCCAUGGAGGACCCACCUCCAGCGGAGCCAAGGCGGUGGCGUCAGUGCGUGGUCUGAGUCAGGAGGAUGAUGAUGAUGAUGAUAACAGCUGGUAUUAAUGUUGUGAUACAGGCGGUGGCGUCAGUGCGUGGUCUGAGUCAGGAGGAUGAAGGACACAAGACACAGAGCGACACCAGACCAGAGAGGACACACGAACAUCGAAGAGAGACCACAAGACAC
rnacentral:lncRNA from 1 species